rnacentral:rRNA from 1 species
CUUGGUCAUUUAGAGGAAGUAAAAGUCGUAACAAGGUUUUCCUAAGGGAAUAUACUAGACAUAUGCCUAUGAAGCCUUGGAUAUCGAGUCUAUUAUAUAGGCAACACCUUUACUGUGCUUGAAUACCUAUUAGGUUACAUGCAGCUGCUAUGACAGUUCACAGAUCAAAUGAAGGUGGCCCUAAUUUAAGGAAUUCAGGGUUCAGAUAUGACCGGCCUGCUCUUGAGAAAGUGUAGAGUAAGUGUUCCGUAGGUGAACCUGCGGAAGGAUCAUUACAGAGAAUAUGCCCUUUGGGGUAGAUCUCCCACCCUUUGUUUACUUUACCUUUGUUGCUUUGGCAAGCCCGCUCUUGGGGCCGCCGGCUUUUUGCUGGCCAGCGCUUGCCAAUGGACUCAAACUCUGUAUAUUAUGUCGUCUGAGUUAUUAUAUAAUAGUUAAAACUUUCAACAACGGAUCUCUUGGUUCUGGCAUCGAUGAAGAACGCAGCGAAAUGCGAUAAGUAAUGUGAAUUGCAGAAUUCAGUGAAUCAUCGAAUCUUUGAACGCACAUUGCACCCUCUGGUAUUCCGGGGGGUAUGCCUGUUCGAGCGUCAUUUCAACCUUCAAGCACUGCUUGGUGUUGAGUAUCACUAUUUUAGUGGACUCUAAAAUCAGUGGCAGCGUCAUUCAGCUUCCAGCGUAGUAAAUUUCUCGCUGUUGAAGCUUAAUUUGCUCCCUGCUAGAAACUCCUAAUAUUUAAAAGGUUGACCUCGGAUCAGGUAGGGAUACCCGCUGAACUUAAGCAUAUCAAUAAGCGGAGGA